rnacentral:rRNA from 1 species
UACGUAGGGACCGAGCGUUGUCCGGAAUCAUUGGGCGUAAAGAGCGUGUAGGCGGCCUUUUAAGUCCUGCGUGAAAUCCUGCGGCUCAACCGCAGACGGUCGUGGGAAACUGGAGGGCUAGAGUGCGGGAGAGGAGAGUGGAAUUCCCAGUGUAGCGGUGAAAUGCGCAGAUAUUGGGAAGAACACCCGUGGCGAAGGCGGCUCACUGGCCCGGUACUGACGCUGAGGUGCGAAAGCGUGGGGAGCAAACAGG